rnacentral:tRNA from 1 species
GCGUUCUUCGUCUAGCGACCCAGGACGAUCCGACGGAAAACGCGGGUUCGAAUCCCGCAGAACGCC